rnacentral:rRNA from 1 species
GUGUCAGCAGCCGCGGUAAGACGAACCGUCCUAACGUUGUUCGGAAUCACUGGGCUUAAAGGGCGCGUAGGCGGGCCAUCAAGUCCGGGGUGAAAUACUUCGGCUUAACCGGAGAAUUGCCUUGGAUACUGGUGGUCUAGAGGGAGGUAGGGGUCUGUGGAACUUCCGGUGGAGCGGUGAAAUGCGUUGAUAUCGGAAGGAACGCCGGUGGCGAAAGCGACGGACUGGACCUCUUCUGACGCUGAGGCGCGAAAGCCAGGGGAGCAAACGGGAUUAGAUACCCUCGUAGUCC